rnacentral:lncRNA from 1 species
CAUUUUCCCGAAAACUAGAUGAGAAAAUGUUGGUACUAACCAAAUUCUCUAGGCAAUACCGUUUCAAUUUCUGCAGGUUAGUAACACUGUUAAAGUAGUAAAUCCAAGGUUUGCAGAGUCGGUUUUGACGUAUGCGCGCGUAUAUGUCAAACAAUAAAUAUUAUAUAAAUGAUUUAUGACAUUUGAUUUAAUAAAUGAAUAAAAAUUACACAAAUAACUAAAAAUAUAGUGCAUAGAGAUGAACAAGACAAGAUUUAUGAUUGAAAUCUGGUUUUCCAUAUUAAAAUCAUUGUCAGCCGAGAAACAAAAUCUGUGCAAGAUAAAAUAGAAACAUAAAGAAGGAAGAGGGAAAGAAAUAAAUGGAGAAUAAACAAAUAUAUAUCAGAUAAGUAGCUAAUAUCUUUAUAAAAAAUUAUGUAUUCUAUAUGUGCUUUUUGUAGAUGAACCGAUUCUUUUCUUGAAUUAAUUUUUUGUUUCAGCUUUUUAGCCAAUUGUAGAAUGUUGACAGCUGGACCACCAGAGAACAAUUUCUUGCCGAAUAAAGCUGUCAAAUUCUAAGCCUGCUACUUCUUCGAGUAUGUCAAAAUUGUGAGCAAAAAAGUUGAAAUUAUAUUGUAACAUCAAUUAGAUUUAUCAACGGUGGAGUAACAGAUUGAUACAACAAACUGAGAGCAGGUUUGUCGAAAUUGUUUGUUCUACAAAGCAUAUGUGCUGUUUGUCUCAGCAAUGUACCGACAUUAUUUAAACUAAAAGAGAUCCCAGAUAGCACGGAGAGUUUAAAGAACUCAAUUGUACGUCACCAAUUAUGUUACCAAUUAUGAAUUCUUUUUGAAUCUCUGUGCUAUCUGGGAUACUAUUGUGUUUAUCGUCAACCUGUCAUGAACGCUUUCGAUAGACCUGCUCAUUGUUUACUGUUAUUUUGUUAUAUAGUCUGCUGAUCGGUAUACACCUUUUAUCUUUCAGCAAACAGAAAAUGUGCUACCUACAUUGGCUUUUACAAGAAUGGGUUUAGAAGUAGCGAUGGAUGCUUGUCCAACAAUCGAAGAUCAUUUCAUAAGUGAAUACACUAUUUGAUGUAAAAUAAACCAAAAUUAUCUUUUUAAAAACGGUAAAAAA